rnacentral:rRNA from 1 species
AGCGAACGCUGGCGGCAGGCUUAACACAUGCAAGUCGAGCGGGCAUCCUUGUGGUGUCCGCGGCAGACGGGUGAGUAACGCGUGGGAACGUGCCCUUCGGUUCGGAAUAACUCAGGGAAACUUGAGCUAAUACCGGAUACGUGCGAGAGCAGAAAGGUUUAUCUGCCGAAGGAUCGGCCCGCGUCUGAUUAGCUAGUUGGUGAGGUUAUGGCUCACCAAGGCGACGAUCAGUAGCUGGUCUGAGAGGAUGAUCAGCCACACUGGGACUGAGACACGGCCCAGACUCCUACGGGAGGCAGCAGUGGGGAAUAUUGGACAAUGGGGGCAAACCUGAUACAGCCAUGACGCGUGAGUGAUGACGGCCUUAGGGUUGUAAAGCUCUUUUCUCCGGGACGAUAAUGACGGUACCGGAGGAAUAAGCCCCGGCUAACUUCGUG